rnacentral:rRNA from 1 species
CAGUCGCCGCGGUAAUACGAAGGGUGCAAGCGUUACUCGGAAUUACUGGGCGUAAAGCGUGCGUAGGUGGUGGUUUAAGUCCGUUGUGAAAGCCCUGGGCUCAACCUGGGAAUUGCAGUGGAUACUGGGUCACUAGAGUGUGGUAGAGGAUAGUGGAAUUCCCGGUGUAGCGGUGAAAUGCGUAGAGAUCGGGAGGAACAUCAGUGGCGAAGGCGGCCAUCUGGGACAACACUGACGCUGAGGCACGAAAGCGUGGGGAGCAAACAGGAUUAGAUACCCCCGUAGUCCCUGUCUCUUAUAC